AUGUGACCUUAUUUGGAGAUAAGUUCUUUAAAGAGGUAAUUAAGUUAACGCGAGGUAAUUAGGAUGGAGCCCUAACCCAAGAGGACAGAUGUCCUUAUAAGAAGAGGAGAGGAGGAACAGCCACACACAGAGGGAAGACCACGCGAGGACACAGGGAGAAGAUGCCACCUACAAGCCAAGGAGAGAGGCCCCGGGAGAAACCAAGCCUGUGGACACCUGGAUCUCGGGCUUCAGCCUCCAAAACCAUGAGAAAGUACAUUUCUGUUGCUGAAGCCCCCCCAGGCUGUGGUGCUUUGUUAGGGCAAAAAUCCCGAGCAGACAAAUAUGUACACCAGUCCCAGCGCCCAGUUCAAGAUGAGAUUUGGGUGGGGACACAGCCCAAACCAUACCAACAUCCCAGGUAAAAAGUUAUGAUCCAUUGUCCAGUUCCUAGACCUGAGGCAGCUUUCAGAAAUGACCCCAGGGCCAAGUACCAGACAACUAGGGACAGCCCCCAUGCUACAGAGCCCGCUGGAAUUAUUCACACUGGCCAAUCCUAAGCCUGCUUGCCCCGCCUCACCUGUCCCUCCUGGGAAAACCACGGUCAAGGCUCUUGCCCACCGCUGUUGUCUUCUGUUCUCUCAGGCUCCUAGGAGCAGUAGGAUAUAAAUGACUCCCACACGCUUAGCGUUCCACUAAUGGAACACUAGGCAUAAAUGAGUUAAUGAGAUGCACAGAUUGUCCAUUAAUGGGCUUCAGGGA
rnacentral:lncRNA from 1 species